AAUCAUUCAACUAAUACUGCAUUCUUGCCUUUGGUAAAUCUCUCACAUACCUCUUCUCAAACAUAGAAACCUGAUAUUUAUCGUAAUUUCUCCAAUAGUUAUGGUCGAAAUCCUAUUUCUACAAGCCCCAAUUAUUCUGACUUUUGUGAAUUUGUUAUGGGUCGUAGUGGAUGCAUCAACCAAGGUGAAGGUUGCAGUAGCAGAAGCAACUUUCAAUUUGAAAUUUGCUUCAGGUUCAGACAUUCAUCUUUCUUCUUUUAUGAGUGGUUUAGUCAGAAUUACCAGCCUCAACAGUUAGUAACUAGUAUCCAUUGUUAGGGGUCACUCCCUUAGAAUUCAUAUUAGAAUCCCUAUUCAAACUCCCAAUGGUACCAAUCUUUAAUGGUUACUGGUCCCUCUUCCUCCUGACAGGGUUCUUAUAGGUUGCAUAUGGAUUUUCAGUGAAAAGAACAUGUUGAGACAUUUUCUUCUAUUAUUAAGCCAUUUACCAUUUGUAUCAUUUUGACUGUAGCUUUAACACCCAAAUUGUCUCCGCUACAGUUGGAUGUUAAUAAUGCUUUCCUAAAUUGUUUGGUACAAGGGGAAAUUUACAUGCUCAAAACCUCAAGGUUUUGAAUCAACUGGCAAGUCUUUAAUUCUGCAAAUUUAAUAAAUCUAUCUUGGGCUUAAGCAAACAACAUGAGCAUUAUUUGAGAGGCUCAAAAUUACUCUGCUGCAUUUGGUUUCACUAACAGUAAAUGUGAUCCAUCUUUAUUCAUCUAGUGUAAUAUCAGAGGAAUUGUGUAUAUGUUGGUGAGAUCAUUGUUACAGAAAGUUCUACUUCCACUCACCAAUUAGUCACUCAAUUGAAUGCAACUUUCUCCCUUAGACAACUUGGUUUAUGUUGGAAGUCUAUCGAUAGAAAUAAGGCCUAUUCAUAAUAAGCUAGUUUUAUAAGCUAGUUUUAUGGAUUUGAGUUAGGCUUAAAGUUCAGUUCUUAACAUGACAUCAAAGCUGUGGGUUAGAUCCUAUCCUAAAGAAGCUAGUUGUUUGUUGGGCCUAUUGUUCCACACACUAUUGGGCUAUUAUGAGACCACCCAUUAAUGUUCAGUCUCACGCUUAAGUGUAUAUGUCUUGGCAUGAGAGGGUGUGUUGGAAGUUUUACAUCGACUAGAGACAAGAACAAUUCAUAAUAUAUAAGUGGGUAUAAACCUCAUCUUACAAGUAAGUUUUAUAAGGUUGAAUUCGAUUUAAAGUACACUUCUUAAUAGUUCACUUGAUUACUUUUUGGGAAUAGAGGUCAGACAAUUAUAUAGUGGUUCUCUUUUCCUCACUCAAACUAAAUAUAUCACAAAGAUUUACAUGUUGAGACAAAUAUGAUUGAUUCAAAACCUAUAUCUACUCCUACAACAUCUUGGUGCAAGUUGACAAAAUCUGGUUAAGAUAUUCUUUAAGAUCCUAGAUUUUAUAGAUCUAUUGUGGGUGCUUUGACAUAUAUUACUAUCACAAGACCUGAGCUAAGUUACUCUAUUAACAGGUAUGCCAAUUUAUGUAAGCUCCUAAUGUGACAUUCUCAUUUCUGUCCUUUAUUUGACAUCCCUGAUAAUUUCCUUAUCAUUUUGAAGUAUUGAUCUCAGAUAUUUAAACACAGGAACCUGUAAUGUUACACCUUCUCCCACUUUUACUUCCAAGUCAUGUUCCUCUCGUGUCUUACUAAAAAUGCAUUGCAUAUACUCUAUUUGCUCUUGCUUAGCUUUGGAGAAUUAGGUAUAAAGAACAAACUAAGCACAGCAAGAGUUAAAAGAUAGCAUACCUGACAACAUUUGAAUUGGUAUAUUUAGUUUCUGUUUCUAAUAAUUUUUCCAAAACUUCCUUGGAUUUUUUCCUAAUCAACUUCAACUGCCCCUUCAAAUUGAUGCAUGUAUAUCUAUUGGCCAACAUGCUUACAAGAAGUUCAAAUUUAGGCUAGGAAAAUUCUGUGGUGAGGAUAUUUUCCACUUGCUGCAUAGGUCGAUUCAAAUGCCAUACAAACAGGCACAUCAUCUACCUCCUUCUUCGAAGUGUCUCAAUUUCCAACCACUGUUGGGUGGCUUUUCAUGGCUCUUUGUUCUGUUUUGGCUCUGCUUCUUGCUACCACAAUCUCAGUUUUUUUUCUUUGGUAACCCAGUUACCCCAAAUGUGUAAUAGCCUGCUAUAUACCUUCUACCUGUGGUAGACCCUACCCAAUCAACAUUUGGGUAGGCCUUGAUUAUAUGUUGUUUGUGUGUCUGUAUUGAAGAAAAGAUAUUUGCCUAAUGCCCUCUUCCAGUAUGUCUACAUUUGAUAUACCACCUCAGGUGUUCUUGAUAGGGUGAAUGCAUGAACUGACUUACUAAACUUUUUGCUAAUACAAUAUCAGGUCAUGUAUGUGACAAGUAAAUCACUUCGUACUAAUUUGUGGCAUUUCAAAAUUUUCCAAAUCCUCCUUGUUCUUCCUAGCUUUUAAUUAGCGUCAAGAGAGGUGUUUAUUGGUGUAAAACCACUCAUACAAAUUUCUUUGUAGUUUUCUUUUGAGAGAGCACAAUUACUCUUAUUUACCUAGCAAUCUGUACUUUAAGUGUUGAAAUUAAAUAAGGAAACAAAUCAAAAUUAUAUCUUAGGAUGUCAUUAAGAUAUAGGGUUUCUGAUAGUGAAUUUUCAGAAUAGCAUGUGUUGCUCAGCUGAUCUAGUAAGCUCUUAGAGAUUUUUGUUGGAAGUCCCACAUCAACUAGAGAUAAGGCCAAUUUAUAAUAUAUAAGUGGGGUGCAGACCUCACCUUACAAGCCGGUUUUGUGGGGUUGAGUUAGGCUUCUAACAUGGUAUCAGAGCCAGGUUAGAGCUUAUCCUAGAGAUAUUUGUUGGACAUAUUGUUCCACCCGCUAUAGGGUCGUUAUUGGACCACCCAUUAAUAUCUAGUCUCGCGCUCGAGAUGUAUAUACCUCGGUGUGAGGGGGGGUGUUGGAAGUCCCACAUCGACUAGAGAUAAGGCCAAUUUAUAAUAUAUAAGUGGGGUGCAGACCUCACCUUACAAGCCGGUUUUGUGGGGUUGAGUUAGGCCUAAAACUCACUUCUAACAAUUUUUAAAGAUGUUGUCCUUUGAGAAGAUAGUUGGGAUGGGGGGUUCCUGAGACAUUUGAUGUAGCAUAUGUAGCAAAUCCCUUGGCUUCAACCUUAGAAUCAUCAACUAGAAUCAAGAAUAAUGAAAUGAAGAAACUUCAGUACAAUAAAAGAGAAUAAGGAACUAUUUUCAAUAAUGUGGUUAGAGACAUCUAAAUCAGUUGCCAAUGGAGUUUAAUUAUUACCAUGGUUAUCAAACUUGCAAGUUAACUCGUUAAUUCGGACGAGUUUUCGUGUUCACUCAUGGCUUUUGAGUUAACUUGAAAGCAAACUUGAUUUUGGAGUAGAACUGUAGAAUUGGUAGGCUUAGUCAAACUUGCGAGUGUACUUUCGAUUUGGCAAGUUAGUUGAGAUUUUAUUUUAUUUUAUAUUUUUUUUUUUUGUAAAAUGAAGUUGUUUUUAGGGCAGACUCACUAGAUUAGGGUUUUUGAAUCAUCUUUCAAACAAGUCCAUCUUCUUUCAUGGUCUCUUGUGAUUGUAGUUCUCGCUCUUGUGCUCUUUGUCUCUCGAUUUCAUGUUGCUCGCUCAUGAUCACCAUGCCGUCACAUUUGUAGUUGUCGUCGCUUGAUGUGGAUCAUCAUCGCUCACUGUGGGUUGUCGGUGUUUUGCAGCCCCUCGCACCUUGCAUCUAUAGGUUUGCUGUGUUUUUUUUAUCAUUUCACAUCCCCACAACUCGUGUUUUAUAUAAUUUAACUUUUUUUCAACAUUGUGACUAAAAUUUUAUAAGCCCUUUUUUACCCUUUUGACAAUAAGUGUCCCUUGGACUUAGAUAAUUUUUUAUUUUGGAAUUUUGUAGUUGGCUGAAAUUAAAAGAGGAUGUUUGGGAAUGGUUCAAAUUCAAUUGAGACCAAUCCAAGUGCAUCUUUGUUUGGGUAUAAGGUGGGAGGUAAUGAUAAGGGUUGGAAAGUAUAUGAGAAGGAGAAGAAAGGUAGGAGGGAAGUGAGGCCAAACUGUAUUGACUGUAAAGGUCGAAUGGUGGAAGGCAUGGAGAGGUUAGGCCAAACGGUGGACAAAGGGGAGUGACCAGGCCGAAUGAUGGACAACAGGGAGCCAUCAGGCCGAACGGUGGAAGGCGGGGAGCGACUAGGCUGAACGUUGGGAAGCAGCGAAGGACCUGAGCCGAACGGUUGAAGAAUCACCAUCCUAACUGUGCAGCGGUUAGGGUGGGCGAGACCUAAUUAUAGUAAAAGGAGCCACACUAGGGGAGAAUGUUUAGUAUAAGUUAAUUAGAGUAAAUAAAUAUAUAUUCUAGGGAAAUAUACAAUAUAAGAUAUUUAUAAUUAAUGAUGCUAUGGAGAUAUACGGGGAGAUAUUUAUAUUAAAUAUAGGGAUAUUUAUAUUAAAUGCAGAUGUAUUCUAAGGAAAUAUGUUGGAAGUCCCAUAUCGACUAGAGAUAAGGCCAAUUUAUAGUAUAUAAGUGGGUGGAAAUCUCACCUUACAAGCCGGUUUUGUGGAGUUUAGUUUGGCUUAAAGUCCACUUCUAACAUGGUAUUAGAACCAUUGUUAAAAAGCGUAUCCUAACGAUAUUUGUUGUUUGUUGGGCAUAUUGUUGCACCAGCUAUUGGGUCGCUAUCAGACCACUCAUUAAUGUCUAGUCCCACGCUCGAGAUGUAUAUACCUUGGUGUGAGUGGGGUGUGUUGGAAGUCCCAUAUCGACUAGAGAUAAGGCCAAUUCAUAGUAUAUAUGGGUGGAAACCUCACCUUACAAGCCGGUUUUGUGGGGUUUAUUUAGGCUUAAAGUCCAGUUAUAACAUGGUAUCAGAGUCAUUGUAAAAGCAUAUCCCAGCGACAUUUGUUGUUUGUUGAGCAUAUUGUUUCACCCGCUAUCGGACCGCUAUUGAACCACCCAUUAAAUUUCUAAUCCCACGCUCGAGAUGUAUAUAUCUCGGCGUGAGGGGGGUAUGUUGGAAGUCCCAUAUCGACUAGAGAUAAGGCCAAUUCAUAGUAUAUAAGUGGGUACAAGCCUCACCUUACAAGCCGGUUUUGUGGAGUUGAGUUAGACUUAAAGUUCACUUCUAACAAAAUAUUUAAUAGGAGAUGGGUGGGAAAUACAUUAGUAUAAAUAGAGCUAGAGUCUAUUGUUAGGGUUAUGUUUUUUAUCAUUUAGUUUGUAGCAAACAUUAUUUUCUUGUGAGGGAGGUUAUGCUCCCAAAGUAAUUUAAGGAGGUUAUGCUCGCAAUUAUUGUUUACUUUUUUUUUAUUCAGAGUUCUAUCACCAUCAAUAAAAGAUAUCCAUUCGGUCAAUUCCAUUCUUUUAUUAUUCUUUUACUUGUUUUGAGUGUGUGAGAGGGUGAUUUUGUUAUGUCUCCUACUCGGAUAUGUAACAAUCUUCAUCUGUUAACAAUAGAUGUAAAAAUGCUUCAGGGACAAGUUAAGUCAUGAGCAGUAGUAUAAGUUGAUCCUUGAGACCGUUGACCGCUUAUGCUUGGUUAAUUUGGAGAAUUGCAUUUUAGUUUUGUUGGAAUUUACAGAUUUUCUAAGAAUCCAUAAAGAGAAUAACAAUUUUCUUGGAUGUGUCCGUUAUUUUUCAAUAUUUGCAUUGAGGACAACUAGGUCUCCUCCUGCCUCAUCCUCCAUGAAUGUAUAUCCUGGAAUAAGUCUCAUUUGGAUAAUCUGAUUUGCUGUGAGAUUUUGGUGGAGGAGCUCAAAACAGUGGAGUAACUAAGUUCUCAAUUGAAGGAACCUCUUGGCCUUUCAAGACUUGGUCAUGGAAAUGAUCGAAAUGUGGAUGUAUUCGUGUUAAAACCCACACCAUGUAUAAUGAUCAAGCUUGACUUGUAUGCCUUCAAGAGUAUCAACUUCUAAAGCAAUUUAAUUCUUCAAUUGCAGAUUGGAUUAGAUUGUAUGGGGAGCCAACUUUUGUGCUGAAAUGAUCUUUCGUAAGAACAUAAAGGUUACACAGGAGUUAUUGAUAUUUAAAUGUAUACAGGAGAUUGGCUUUUGAGCAUUACAUUUUAACUAGUAACAAUCUUGCCUUGCAUAAAAUGGUAACAAUUUGAUCUCCUGUAAAAACAAGAAACUGAACUUUGUAGCUAGGAUAGUGAAAUAUCAAGCCAUGGCUUCUACCACCAGUAAAUAUAUUUGGCUGAAACAAUUAGUUAGAGAAUUAAGGUUCAGGGAGGUUAAUAGAUAAUGACCAAAGAAGGCUGCUUUGCAUUUACCUGAAAUCCAACAUUCCAAGGACCAACUAAAUUGAGAUAGAUUGUCAUUUCAUUAGGGGAGAAGAUCUUUGUGGGAGAAUUUGACUUGAAUAAUGAGAGGCAAUAAAGAAAUAUAUUAAUUUCAAUCAUGCUAAUUACAUUUUGGACUAAUCUAUUUUGUAACAAUUACAUUCUCUCAUAAAAGAAAAGAAAA
rnacentral:lncRNA from 1 species